CCUACGGGGGGCUGCAGUGGGGAAUAUUGCACAAUGGGCGCAAGCCUGAUGCAGCCAUGCCGCGUGUGUGAAGAAGGCCUUCGGAUUGUAAAGCACUUUCAGCGGGGAGGAAGGCGGUGAGGUUAAUAACCUCAUCGAUUGACGGUACCCGCAGAAGAAGCACCGGCUAACUCCGUGCCAGCAGCCGCGGUAAUACGGAGGGUGCAAGCGUUAAUCGGAAUUACUGGGCGUAAAGCGCACGCAGGCGGUCUGUCAAGUCGGAUGUGAAAUCCCCGGGCUCAACCUGGGAACUGCAUUCGAAACUGGCAGGCUAGAGUCUUGUAGAGGGGGGUAGAAUUCCAGGUGUAGCGGUGAAAUGUGUAGAGAUCUGGAGGAAUACCGGUGGCGAAGGCGGCCCCCUGGACAAAGACUGACGCUCAGGUGCGAAAGCGUGGGGAGCAAACAGGAUUAGAUACCCCAGUAGUC
rnacentral:rRNA from 1 species